GAUGAACGCUGGCGGCGUGCCUAAUACAUGCAAGUCGAGCGAACAGACGAGGAGCUUGCUCCUCUGACGUUAGCGGCGGACGGGUGAGUAACACGUGGAUAACCUACCUAUAAGACUGGGAUAACUUCGGGAAACCGGAGCUAAUACCGGAUAAUAUAUUGAACCGCAUGGUUCAAUAGUGAAAGACGGUUUUGCUGUCACUUAUAGAUGGAUCCGCGCCGCAUUAGCUAGUUGGUAAGGUAACGGCUUACCAAGGCAACGAUGCGUAGCCGACCUGAGAGGUGGUGGGGCCAAAAGGGAAUUGAAACAGGGCCAGGCCCCCUCGGGGGGGCAGAAGAGGGGAAUCUGCGAAAAUGGGGGAAAUUUGGCGGGAGAAACGCGGGGGGGGAGAGAAGGGUUUCGGGAUGGUAAAACUGUGUAAUGAGGAAAAAAAAAAUGUAAAAGAAAAUAGGCAGUCCUGGACGGUACAUAAAAAAAAGGCAAGGGCAAACUCCGGG
rnacentral:rRNA from 1 species